UAGGGAAUCUUCGGCAAUGGGGGGAACCCUGACCGAGCAACGCCGCGUGAGUGAAGAAGGUUUUCGGAUCGUAAAGCUCUGUUGUUAAGGAAGAACGAGUGUGAGAAUGGAAAGUUCAUGCUGUGACGGUACCUACAGAAGAAGCAACGGCUAAAUACGUGCCAGCAGCCGCGGUAAUACGUAUGUUGCGAGCGUUAUCCGGAAUUAUUGGGCUUAAAGGGCAUCUAGGCGGUAAGACAAGUUGAAGGUGAAAACCUGUGGCUCAACCAUAGGCUUGCCUACAAAACUGUUGAACUAGAGUACUGGAAAGGUGGGUGGAACUACACGAGUAGAGGUGAAAUUCGUAGAUAUGUGUAGGAAUGCCGAUGAUGAAGAUAACUCACUGGACAGAAACUGACGCUGAAGUGCGAAAGCUAGGGGAGCAAACAGG
rnacentral:rRNA from 1 species